rnacentral:rRNA from 1 species
UACGUAGGGGGCAAGCGUUGUCCGGAUUUAUUGGGCGUAAAGAGCUCGUAGGUGGUUCGGUAAGUCGGAUGUGAAAUCUCCAGGCUCAACCUGGAGGGGUCAUUCGAUACUGCCGUGACUAGAGUUCGGUAGGGGAGUGUGGAAUUCCUGGUGGAGCGGUGAAAUGCGCAGAUAUCAGGAGGAACACCCGUGGCUAAGGCGGCUCUCUAGUACGGUACUGACGCUGAGACGCGAAAGCGUGGGGAGCGAACAGG